GACAGAGGGUGCAAACGUUGUUCGGAAUUACUGGGCGUAAAGCGUGUGUAGGCGGUCUCGCAAGUCGGGUGUGAAAGCCCAGGGCUCAACCCUGGAAGUGCAUUCGAUACUGCGAGGCUAGAGUCCCGGAGAGGAUGGUGGAACUCUCGGUGUAGAGGUGAAAUUCGUAGAUAUCGAGAAGAACACCGGUGGCGAAGGCGGCCAUCUGGACGGUGACUGACGCUGAGACGCGAAAGCGUGGGGAGCAAACAGG
rnacentral:rRNA from 1 species